rnacentral:rRNA from 1 species
UACGUAGGGUGCAAGCGUUGUCCGGAAUUAUUGGGCGUAAAGAGCUCGUAGGCGGUCUGUCGCGUCGGAUGUGAAAAUCCAGGGCUCAACCCUGGACCUGCAUUCGAUACGGGCAGACUAGAGUUCGGCAGGGGAGACUGGAAUUCCUGGUGUAGCGGUGAAAUGCGCAGAUAUCAGGAGGAACACCGGUGGCGAAGGCGGGUCUCUGGGCCGAUACUGACGCUGAGACGCGAAAGCGUGGGGAGCAAACAGG